GGAGGGGCAACCAUAAGCCCUACUUUUCCAGAUCCCCCUACCACUGCCCCUCCCGCAGCGCUCUGGGGACCCAAACACACGUUUUCCCCAAACACGCACAAGCACAGAUGCACUCAGUCCCUCCCCAUCCCCAUCCACCGGAUUCCCACUCCCCUAGAGAACGCAUUCUUCGUCACGCAAGCACGCACACAGAUCCCUUCCCCACCCUCAUCACGCACGCGGCCCCCUCCCAUUUCCGUCACGCACACAGGUUCCGCCCUUUUACCGUCACGCUGGCAGAUCCUUCCCGGUCACGCACUGAGACCCCCUGCUCAUCUGAGGCACUCAAAUAUCUCCCUUCCAGUGCUUAAACCCAGCUCAUUCCCAAUCUCAGUCUUGCAUACUAGUGUCUGCGCAUUCUUAAGUACACCGACCCUUCCCUGUCCACACCAAGUAUACAGCCCCCCUUUCCCAGCCCUCACUGUCAGUCAUCUCACACGCAGGCCCCCUUGCUUGUCAGCCCCAUCUUGAUCCUUAUUUGGCACAUGUCCCUCUCCUCAUCUCUUCACUAGGCAAAGCUCCUCCCUGGGUCAGCCCCUAACUGCCCCCCAAAAUAGGAAGAUGAAAAAGAGACUCAAAAAAGUGGAGAUUGAAAAAGACAGAGAAAUGGAGACACAAGCAGGCAUAACACCCACUCCGAUGGCAUACUUUUUACCCCACUCCUUUUUUUGGGGGGGGAGAUGAACUUUGGGCCCUCACCUAGUGCCUUGGGCUCCGAAGUCCCUGACCAUAGGUGUCCUUCCUGCCCUCUACUCAGUAGCCCCUCUCCUCCCUAAUCCCCUCUGUAUUUGUUCAUAAUAACACCAUCGAUUUCUCUAGUUUUAAGGUUUAUAAUGCGCUUUCUUUACAGGGCUGUGAGGGGAAACUAACAAUGCAAGGAUUUUUAUCCCCACUUUAUGGAUGCAGAAACUAAGGCUCAAAUACAAAUCUGGGAGGGACCUCAAGGGUCAUAUUGUCUAACCUCUCCUAUCAGUGAUACCCCACCUAGGUCCUGCUAAGAGAAUUUCGACAGUCAAUUCAGGUUUACACCGGGGAUUCCUUGAGAUCCCCGUAUCUCAGUCUUGCUGCACCAGUCUCUUCUCCCCACCACCCCCACUCCGCAGUGCCAGGGUAGUGCCCAACACAGGAAGUGCCUCGGGCCCCAGCUCCAAAUUCAGCCUACCCCUGAACGGGGAGGAU